CGACACUGUCGAGGAGCAAAGUCCCAAGUGUUAGAUGCUGUGCUCACCCCAGAGACGGAUGGAUCACACCGUUGAAAUUUUCUCCAUGUGUGUGACUCAUUUGUGUGCAUCUAUGUACAGGCCAGUUAACGCUGCCUGUCUAUGCACGGAUGCUGAGAUUCGGGAGCAUCCACUGGAGCACAGGAAACCUACAAGUGGUCACAUCCUUAACAAAGAGUGAUUCUCCCUCUUCCAGCAAAUAUCCACUACGAAUAGCUCCUCACUAUGGAGUGAGGCUUGGGGAUCAUCGACCCAUCUAUACCAGGAUUUUGGCUAGCCUUGCCUUGUGUACAUCUUGUGCAGGUAGCCACGGCUGCUGUGUAUUCAUGGCUUGGACAGCCAGGUCAUGUCCAGAAGAUGCUAUCUCCCAGCAUUCUUCUCCAUCCGCCAGCUCUUGCCUUCUUUCUACUUUCCCUUCUGUGAUAUUCCCUGAGCAUGCCAGGGAAGAAUAAUAUAGAUACUCAAGUUAGGGUUAA
rnacentral:lncRNA from 1 species